GGAGGCAGUGAUGAGGGUAUACCGCCCCAGUCUGAACUCUGAUGAUUGGUCUCUCUGAGCCUUG